UGUUCUCUUCAGCAGCACAUUACUAAAAUUGAAACGAUGCAGAGAAGAUUAGCAUGACCCCUGCACAAGGAUGACAUGUAAAUCCGUGGAGUGUUCCACAUUUUA
rfam:Dipodomys ordii contig_7539, whole genome shotgun sequence.